ACAUUUGUCGACAGGAGUGUGGAAAAAAGAGUGAGCGAGACAAUCUGAGCACCCUAAGUGUGUCAUAAAGUACAUGCGGGAAACUCUUAGAUGCCAUAUAUGAUAGUCCAGAUUUAUGUAUACAGUUCUGGUUGCUCGACUUUAAUCCGGAAUGUGUGAUGUAUAUCACACUGCUUCUCCCCUGCUCCCACCAGUAUUGGGAUCACUACCAAACGCCUCUCACAUCCUAGUAAAAUAGCAAUAACACUUAUAUACUGCUUCAUAGUGCUUUACAGCCCUCUCUAAGCGGUUUACAGAUUCAGCAUAUUGCCCCCAACAAUCUGGGUCCUCAUUUUACCCACCUUGGAAGGAUGGAAGGCUGAGUCAACCUUGGGGAAAAAAGCAAGUGUUUUGACGGUCUCCCAUAUCAAAAUGCAGGGGAGGCCCUGCUUGGAGUUGGCUACCCAACUAUGGGGUGUCAGUUUUCUGUUUUUAUGAUAGGCUCCAAGGAAAAGGGUGUUGUUGCUGCAUUGAUGUAAUCAUGGAUUUGAUGGUACGAAUCAGAAGUAUUGGCAAUCUUGUUUGGGGGUAACUUACAAUGAAUGCAUUACAGCUCAUUCGUCAAAAAAAUGAAUCUGGAAUUAGACUGAGCAAUGGGACCCCACAUUGCAUUUGUUGUUACACAUUUGUUACACUUAUCUUAUUUCUCCUAUCAGGAAUAUGCACCGUUCAUAUUAUUUAUCUGUCAAUCAUGUGUGGCAUAUAAAAAUAAGGUGGGGGGUUCUUCUCAAAAUUCUAGGAUCAGGGCCUACCCAAUAAAAUUCACUGGAGAAUUAAAAUAGAGAAAAGGAAGCCCAUAUCCCUAUGUAUAAUCAACCUGUGGAAUUUAUCAGCACAAACUCUGGGAAUGAUCUCUACUGUAUCAUGGAUGGUCUUAAAAGGAGCUGCUGAAGGUAUUAACGGAGGACAGGUAACACUGGAUUUCUACAACAAAUUAUUCAUGCUUUUUUAAACAAGAGGGGCUGCCGCAAAGAAGAGGAGAUCAACUUAUUUUCCAAAGCACCAGAAGGCAAGACAAGAAACAAUGGACAGAAACUAAUCAAAGAGAGAAGUAAUCUGUAAUUACGGAGAAACUUCCGAACAGUGAGAACAAUUAACCAGUGGAACAGCUUGCCUUCAGAAGUUGUAGAUGCUUCACUUGGAGACUUUUAAGAAGAGACUGGACAGCCACUUGUCUGAAAUGGCAUAGGGUUUCCUACUUGAGCAAGGGUUGGACUGGAAGACCUCUAAAGUCCCUUCCAGAUCUAUUCUGAUUUCAGGUUAAGAUGCACCAAUGUUUCUUUUUCUGCUCAGCAGUAGCCAGAGAGAAGGUCAAAAUCAAAAGAUUCCCCACUUAUGGACAAUUCUGUUAACCCUCUGAACUUAUCUACCAAUACAUGUCUAAGAAAGCUCCUCCCUCAAAGAGGUUUUUUGAAGAAAAGAUGGGCAGCUAAGAGGAAGGAGAUGGGAUGGAAAUCUGUUAUUAAACCACCUUAGAAAUUUCAGGUUCAGUCUAUUAAAUGGAUACAGUCAAAACUAAUGCCUUUACUUGGAAACAAGUUUCCAAGAAACAGGGAAUUACUUUGAGGAUAAUACUUUCAUAGAGUUAUCAAGAAGUUCGAAGUAAACAUGCAAUUAUUUUGCUUGUACUGGCUUGCUUCCCACAGCUCUUGGGUAAGUAGUUGCAACUAUUUCUUUUUCUUUUAAGAGUAACUUUAAUAAAGAUAAUUAUAGCAAUAAAAACUAAUGCACACUGAACAAGAUUGAAGAACAAAAGUGCAGAAAAGAAAAAAUAAAGAGAAAAGAAUUUUAAAAAGUAUAGUGACUUUUAAAGAGGUGACUUCCCAUCUUCAUCACAAGUAUAAAAAAUGUUGUAGCUUAUCACCUUACUCCUAACAAUCAAAUAAUGUCAUAGAACUUGAUUUCUUUUCAUUUUUUCAUUGUUCCUUCUCACAACAUUCUUCAAGCUAUAACAAGCUUUUUUGGUAAAUCCAGUAUAGGAAAAAUAUCCAGAUUAUUAUUUUAGCUCAUGGUUUGUAUAGCUCUUUUAAUUAUUAAAACAUCAUUUGGUUUCUU